UGUGACAGGAAGUGUUGGGGACAUCUUGCAGCCACUGCCACCAAAGACUCCUCCUGGGGAUCCAGAGCUGGGAAGCUGCUACACCCCCUCCCCGCCUCCAUCUGUCUCAUUCAGCACAAAGAAAGGGUGCACGGUUCCCAGGGGCGGCUCAGCUAUCGGCAGUGCACCCAAGGAUCAUCGGGUAAUGGCGAGAUUUCACUUCUAUGAUGACCCUGUGAGAAGAGAGACCACAUGAUGUUCCCUUCCAAGGGAGCAGAGCACAGCCAUCAGUCACUGCUAAGAAGGAAGGGACUUCUGACUAGAGCAGGAAGGCCUGGACCCAGUGGGGAGAAGCCAGGGCGUGUUAUCCUGGGAUUAGCCCUGGGGAGAAGAGCAAACCGGUUUAUAAAAGG